CGCGACUCCGCCAUUACUCCGCGGCAUCACGCAGGCAGGCAGGCAGGCUAGCCGUGCUCCCUCCCGUCUCUUCUCUCCUCUCCCCCAAAGAGGUCAAAGACACAGGGAGAGGACUCCUCCGCAUCUGCAUCCGUCCUCCUCCGCGCGCACGAAUUCGAGAGGGAGAGGAGCGGUAAUGGGGAGGGCUCCGUGCUGCGAGAAGAUGGGCCUCAAGAGGGGCCCCUGGACGCCGGAGGAGGACAAGAUCCUGGUCGCCCACAUCCACAGCCACGGCCACGGCAACUGGCGCGCGCUGCCCAAGCAAGCCGGCCUGCUGCGGUGCGGCAAGAGCUGCCGGCUCCGGUGGAUCAACUACCUGCGGCCGGACAUCAAGCGCGGCAACUUCACCGACGAGGAGGAGCAGUCAAUCAUCCAGCUGCACCAGCUGCUCGGCAACAGGUGCCUAUUACUCCUUGUCGCCUUCUUCCUCCUCCUCCUCAAUCACAUCCUUACUGUUCCCCUCCUGCUAAAACGGGGGCAAUCAUUGCCGCUUGCUUCAAUCGCAAAACAGAGGUGAGGUUUAUUAUUCCCCUUUUUUUCUUUUUUUUCUUUGUGGGGGCAAAAAAAAUACAAUAUGUUAUCAUCCAUCGCGGGCCCCGCCCGAAAUAAAGAAAAAUCGCAAGUGCGGAUUUGUUAAUGGCUAAUUGCAUCACUGAUGAUGCGCGAGAUCUUGAAAGAUUCCAUCUUGUUUGGCCGUUCCGGCCACGGGCGAGCUGCGCCCUCUUGAUUUCAGUGCCGCGAACACUUUGUGCCGCCACCGCCGCUCCUACUUGGCAUUAAACUACGGGCGGCGUCGCGGUUCCGUCGGGGAAUCAAAUCACGUCGUGAUCAUCAUCAGAUUAAAACAAACAAACAAACACGAAUUCAUCUUUUUCCUGCCAUCUGUCUGGACUGUGCGCUGAUUGGAUUCGAUCCGUGUGUUGUUUGCUUGCGCGCAGAUGGUCCGCGAUUGCCGCCCGGCUGCCGGGGAGGACGGACAACGAGAUCAAGAACGUGUGGCACACCCACCUCAAGAAGCGGCUCGACCCCAGCGCGCAGGAGCAGCACGAGGAGGCCAAGAAGCGCAAGAAGCCGGCGGCGGCGGCGCGGAAGCGCGACGGCAAGGUCAAGAUGAGGAAGCUCGACGCGCUGACCGCCAAGGCGGCGCCCGUGCUGUCCUCGCCCGAGCGCUCCGUCUCGUCCACGGUCACCGAGUCGACGUCCACGGCCUCGGCGGCGGCGGAGCAGCACGGCAACUCGGGCAGCUCCGCGUCCGCCUCCGCGUCCGUCAAGGAGGAGUGCUUCACCUCGUCCGAGGAGUCGGAGGAGUUCCAGAUCGACGAGAGCUUCUGGUCGGAGACGCUGUCCAUGCCGCUGGACGACAUCAACGACGUCUGCAUGGAGCCCCACGACGCGUUCGGCAAGCCCACGGGCGCCGCCGACGGCGACAUGGACUACUGGCUCAAAGUGUUCAUGGAGGGCGGCGGCGACGACGACAACAACAACGGCGCGCUAGACUUACCGCAGAUUUAGGGAGGGAGAGAGCUCUAGUUUCGUCGCUGCUCCCGAUUGAUCGUUCUUUUUUCUCUCUCUCUACCCGCGCCAUCUUGCUGCACCGGAGGGAUUGCUAACAGAGAAGAGUGCCCUGCCCCGCGGAGGAAAAUUAGUAGCCAGCAAGAACGCGGAUCAUGAAGGCGCCCGGUCGGUAGAUUUCUUUGAUCCAUCUUGUUUGUUCACCUUGCUGUAUAGAAAGAUGAGAGAUGAGCGAUCGGAACCGAUGCAUUCUGAGUUAGUAGUGAUUAUCUGUUCUUCUGCACGGGGUGCAAAUAUCAGUUUCUGUACCACCAUGGAGAUUACUACUAUCUGAAAUGGACUCUGCUUUUCUCAUUUGGCCGAUCAAAACUGAUCACUCCUCACUGCAUGUGCUCGGUUACCGGAUCGCAUCAUGUGAUCUUUUGGAGAAGCGUGAGGAUUAAACCGGUGUAUUACUAGUACGGGCUUUUGUCUUGUUAUCUGUUCUUUUCCGGUGUGUGCACGCUUGUCGCAGUUGCCAACCGAGCCUGAAAAACAUGCGUUGGGACUGGAAAAACCGGAGGAAAGGUCCCUUUUCCCCUCCGAGAGAGUUAAAUAAUGACACGGACAGAUCUGGCCGUCUUGUCAUGGAUCCUG
rnacentral:rRNA from 1 species